AUUGAACGCUGGCGGCAGGCCUAACACAUGCAAGUUGAACGAAGUCUUCGGACUUAGUGGCGGACGGGUGAGUAACACGUGGGAACGUACCUUUUGGUUCGGAACAACUCAGGGAAACUUGAGCUAAUACCGGAUGAGCCCUUAGGGGGAAAGAUUUAUCGCCGAAAGAGCGGCCCGCGUUAGAUUAGCUAGUUGGUGAGGUAAAGGCUCACCAAGGCUACGAUCUAUAGCUGGUCUGAGAGGAUGAUCAGCCACACUGGGACUGAGACACGGCCCAGACUCCUACGGGAGGCAGCAGUGGGGAAUCUUGCGCAAUGGGCGAAAGCCUGACGCAGCCAUGCCGCGUGAAUGAUGAAGGUCUUAGGAUUGUAAAAUUCUUUUACCAGGGACGAUAAUGACGGUACCUGGAGAAAAAGCCCCGGCUAACUUCGUGCCAGCCGCCGCAGUAACAC
rnacentral:rRNA from 1 species